rnacentral:rRNA from 1 species
AUUGAACGCUGGCGGCAGGCCUAACACAUGCAAGUCGAGCGGUAGCACAGAGAGCUUGCUCUCGGGUGACGAGCGGCGGACGGGUGAGUAAUGUCUGGGAAACUGCCUGAUGGAGGGGGAUAACUACUGGAAACGGUAGCUAAUACCGCAUAACGUCGCAAGACCAAAGUGGGGGACCUUCGGGCCUCAUGCCAUCAGAUGUGCCCAGAUGGGAUUAGCUAGUAGGUGGGGUAACGGCUCACCUAGGCGACGAUCCCUAGCUGGUCUGAGAGGAUGACCAGCCACACUGGAACUGAGACACGGUCCAGACUCCUACGGGAGGCAGCAGUGGGGAAUAUUGCACAAUGGGCGCAAGCCUGAUGCAGCCAUGCCGCGUGUGUGAAGAAGGCCUUCGGGUUGUAAAGCACUUUCAGCGGGGAGGAAGGCGGUGAGGUUAAUAMCCUCAUCGAUUGACGUUACCCGCAGAAGAAGCACCGGCUAACUCCGUGCCAGCAGCCGCGGUAAUACGGAGGGUGYAAGCGUUAAUCGGAAUUACUGGGCGUAAAGCGCACGCAGGCGGUCUGUCAAGUCGGAUGUGAAAUCCCCGGGCUCAACCUGGSAACUGCAUUCGAAACUGGCAGGCUAGAGUCUUGUAGAGGGGGGUAGAAUUCCAGGUGUAGCGGUGAAAUGCGUAGAGAUCUGGAGGAAUACCGGUGGCGAAGGCGGCCCCCUGGACAAAGACUGACGCUCAGGUGCGAAAGCGUGGGGAGCAAACAGGAUUAGAUACCCUGGUAGUCCACGCCGUAAACGAUGUCGAUUUGGAGGUUGUGCCCUUGAGGCGUGGCUUCCGGAGCUAACGCGUUAAAUCGACCGCCUGGGGAGUACGGCCGCAAGGUUAAAACUCAAAUGAAUUGACGGGGGCCCGCACAAGCGGUGGAGCAUGUGGUUUAAUUCGAUGCAWCGCGAAGAACCUUACCUGGUCUUGACAUCCACAGAACUUUCCAGAGAUGGAUUGGUGCCUUCGGGAACUGUGAGACAGGUGCUGCAUGGCUGUCGUCAGCUCGUGUUGUGAAAUGUUGGGUUAAGUCCCGCAACGAGCGCAACCCUUAUCCUUUGUUGCCAGCGGUYCGGCCGGGAACUCAAAGGAGACUGCCAGUGAUAAACUGGAGGAAGGUGGGGAUGACGUCAAGUCAUCAUGGCCCUUACGACCAGGGCUACACACGUGCUACAAUGGCAUAUACAAAGAGAAGCGACCUCGCGAGAGCAAGCGGACCUCAUAAAGUAUGUCGUAGUCCGGAUUGGAGUCUGCAACUCGACUCCAUGAAGUCGGAAUCGCUAGUAAUCGUAGAUCAGAAUGCUACGGUGAAUACGUUCCCGGGCCUUGUACACACCGCCCGUCACACCAUGGGAGUGGGUUGCAAAAGAAGUAGGUAGCUUAACCUUCGGGAGGGCGCUUACCACUUUGUGAUUCAUGACUGG